rnacentral:rRNA from 1 species
UACGGAGGGAGCUAGCGUUGUUCGGAAAUACUGGGCGUAAAGCGCACGUAGGCGGCGCAGCAAGUCAGGGGUGAAAUCCCGGGGCUCAACCCCGGAACUGCCUCUGAAACUGCAGUGCUAGAAUCUUGGAGAGGCGAGUGGAAUUCCGAGUGUAGAGGUGAAAUUCGUAGAUAUCGAGAGGAACACCGGUGGCGAAGGCGGCCUUCUGGACAGUGACUGACGCUGAGACGCGAAAGCGUGGGGAGCAAACAGG